rnacentral:rRNA from 1 species
AAUCAACGCUGGCGGCGUGCCUCAGACAUGCAAGUCGAACGAUUAAAGCUCUCUUCGGAGAGUGUAUAGAGUGGCGCACGGGUGAGUAACACGUAAGUAAUCUACCUUCGAGUGGGGAUUAACGUCCGGAAACAGACGCUAAUACCGCAUAAUGCAGCGGCAUCGCAAGAUGACAGUUGUUAAAGAUUUAUCGCUUGAAGAGGAGCUUGCGGCAGAUUAGCUAGUUGGUAAGGUAAUGGCUUACCAAGGCUACGAUCUGUAACCGGUCUAAGAGGACGGUCGGUCACACUGACACUGAAUAACGGGUCAGACUCCUACGGGAGGCAGCAGUCGGGAAUUUUGGGCAAUGGGCGAAAGCCUGACCCAGCAACGCCGCGUGAAGGAUGAAGUAUUUCGGUAUGUAAACUUCGAAAGAAUAGGAAGAAUAAAUGACGGUACUAUUUAUAAGGUCCGGCUAACUACGUGCCAGCAGCCGCAGUAA